UGAAACGCCGUAGCGCCGAUGGUAGUGUGGGGUCUCCCCAUGCGAGAGUAGGGAACUGCCAGGC
rnacentral:rRNA from 3 species